rnacentral:rRNA from 1 species
GAUGAACGCUGGCGGCGUGCCUAAUACAUGCAAGUCGAGCGAACAGACGAGGAGCUUGCUCCUCUGACGUUAGCGGCGGACGGGUGAGUAACACGUGGAUAACCUACCUAUAAGACUGGGAUAACUUCGGGAAACCGGAGCUAAUACCGGAUAAUAUAUUGAACCGCAUGGUUCAAUAGUGAAAGACGGUUUUGCUGUCACUUAUAGAUGGAUCCGCGCCGCAUUAGCUAGUUGGUAAGGUAACGGCUUACCAAGGCAACGAUGCGUACCCGACCUGAGAGGGGAAUGCGCAACCCAGAAGAGGACAAAGGACCGAGCACCAAAGGGGAGGCAGGAGUGGGGAAUCUCCCAAAAGGGGAGAAGGCCGGAGGGAGCACCGCCGGGUGAGUAAUGAAGGUCUUCGAACCAAAAAACUCUGUUUUAAGGAAAGAAAAUAUGUGUAAGUAACUAUCCGCGUCUGGACGAUCCCUACCAAGAAAGCCACGAAAAACUCCGU